rnacentral:rRNA from 1 species
GACGAACGCUGGCGGCGUGCUUAACACAUGCAAGUCGAACGGAGCUAUUUAUUUCGGUAGAUAGCUUAGUGGCAAACGGGUGAGUAACGCGUAGGCAACCUGCCCUCAGGAUGGGGACAACGGCUCGAAAGAGCCGCUAAUACCGAAUGACGUAACUCUUCCACAUGGAAGAGAUACUAAAGAUGGGUCAAACCAUCGCCUAAGGAUGGGCCUGCGUCUGAUUAGCCAGUUGGUGAGGUAACGGCUCACCAAAGCGACGAUCAGUAGCCGGUCUGAGAGGAUGAACGGCCACAAUGGGACUGAGACACGGCCCAUACUCCUACGGGAGGCAGCAGUGGGGAAUCUUCCGCAAUGGGCGAAAGCCUGACGGAGCAACGCCGCGUGAGUGAAGAAGGUCUUCGUAUCGUAAAGCUCUGUUGUCGGGGACGAAAGAGUAGACGAGGAAAUGCGUCUACUAGGGACGUACCUGACGA